rnacentral:snRNA from 1 species
GGAUGUGAGGGCGAUCUGGCUGUGACAUCUGUCAUUCCAUUGAUCGCCAGGGUCAAUUCGGCUGAUCUGGCUGUUUAGCUGGGUGUCCCCUUUCUCCCUCACCUUCCAAUGUGCAUCGCUCCUGAAGCUGUGCACUAGGUCAAGAGGAUGACCACCCCUAAUAAAAGAGGACCGUUUCCUCUGACAAGGGUACAGAAC